rnacentral:rRNA from 1 species
AAAUUGAAGAGUUUGAUCAUGGCUCAGAUUGAACGCUGGCGGCAGGCCUAACACAUGCAAGUCGAACGGUAACAGAAAGCAGCUUGCUGCUUUGCUGACGAGUGGCGGACGGGUGAGUAAUGUCUGGGAAACUGCCUGAUGGAGGGGGAUAACUACUGGAAACGGUAGCUAAUACCGCAUAACGUCGCAAGACCAAAGAGGGGGACCUUCGGGCCUCUUGCCAUCGGAUGUGCCCA